rnacentral:lncRNA from 10 species
GAAGAAGGUGUCUGCUUCUCCUUUGCCUUCCACCAUGAUUAUUAGUUUCCUGAGGCCUCCCCAGCCAUGCAGAACUUGUUUUAUAGAGUCCAGAGUAGUGUACAGUAAUGUCCACGUUCACUCACCACUCACUGACUCACUCAGAGCAACUUCCAGUCCUGCAAGCUCCAUUCAUGGUAAGUGCCCUAUACCAGUGUAUCAUUUUCUUUAUCUUUUAUAUCAGGAGUCC